ensembl:lncRNA
CACGAGGGAAGCGAAACACACCUAAACGCCCAAUGCGUGACUUUCGGUGGCUGGCCAGGGCUGGCCGAACUGCUCCAGCCGGUUGGUAGAGAGUGUUUACCAGGAGCAAUUCUGGUCUGGGACAGUCCCCAGCCCUUGUCCCCCACCGGCCACUGCUUCAGAAGCAACCCUGCUUUUCGUCUCCCAAAGGGUCAGACACAGAAAGCGGGGGCUCAGGCUACAGCAAGAAGCAUCGUGGUCAGACGGCGCCCAGGACUUCCUGAAGGGUACAGAGUGUGCUGGCGUCGGUCUGGGGCCAGCUCCGGCCUUCCUGCCGGUGCUUCCUCUGCCCCAGAGGCCCGAGCUCGGGAAGGAAAUGGAACCCGGGGCUGCUGCAGCUGUGCCCCCAGCCUCCGCCUGACCUCGGCCCUCCUACCCCGCCCGGCAGCCAGUGAGGACUCAGGCAAGCACUCUGCAAUGGGGCCGGCAGCUGAUGGAGAGGUGGCCCGAGCCCAGGGACCCGCUGCCUUGCAGGGACGCCCCCAGCACUUGCACAGUCCUACUAC